AUUUUCUCAACGAAGCAAGAGGAGGAAGCAAUCCAUCAGGACCUUUUGUAUAUCAUGAGAGAGACGAAUUCAGCAAGUCCUUUUCACAAUCACACAAAGGUUAUCUUUGCAAGUUAAAGUCGGAGCAAGAAUUUCAAGUUAAGGAAAUUAAACAAAUGAGGUUAAGCGGUGACGACGAGGGCGAUGUUGAGCAGGGAUGGCGAAUGUGUUUCAGUGUGAUAAAUGCUUGGAUGCAUCGUGUCUUCAUACACAGUGUCAUUCUCUCUUGACUCUUCCGAUGCAAUGUAAAUAACGAGCUUAUGUUCCUUUGUAUCAUGUACUCUGAUAUAUUUUGCCAGUUAUUCAAAUUUAAUUUCAUUCA